ACGGACGAGGCCCCUUCGGGGACCGAGUUAGUGGCGAACGGGUGAGUAACGCGUGAGGAACCUGCCUUUCAGUGGGGGACAACAGUUGGAAACGACUGCUAAUACCGCAUGAAGCAUUUAGGGGGCAUCCCCUGAAUGCCAAAGAUUUAUUGCUGAAAGAUGGCCUCGCGUCUGAUUAGCUAGUUGGAGGGGUAACGGCCCACCAAGGCGACGAUCAGUAGCCGGUCUGAGAGGAUGAACGGCCACAUUGGGACUGAGAUACGGCCCAGACUCCUACGGGAGGCAGCAGUGGGGAAUAUUGGGCAAUGGGGGAAACCCUGACCCAGCAACGCCGCGUGAAGGAAGAAGGCUUUCGGGUUGUAAGCUUCUUUUACCAGGGACGAAGAAAGUGACGGUACCUGGAGAAAAAGCCACGGCUAACUACGUGCCAGCAGCCGCGGUAAUACGUAGGUGGCAAGCGUUGUCCGGAUUUACUGGGUGUAAAGGGCGUGUAGGCGGAGAUUCAAGUCAGGAGUGAAAACUAUGGGCUUAACCCAUAA
rnacentral:rRNA from 1 species